rnacentral:lncRNA from 1 species
GCACCUAACAACUUAAUAACUGGUUAUAUUAUAAAACUGUUCAAAAUCUAGUCACUCGUUACAUUGUAUCUUCUUAUUAAAACUUGUUAGAAAAAUGUAGGAUUGAGGCAGUUUAGAGCAGCAGAUAGAGAACUAGUCUCUGAGCCUGGAAAACCUAGGUUCCAAUCCCACCUUUUAACAUAUCCAGGAUAUGGGAAGUCAUCCGAGCUUAAGUGCCUGGGCAAGUCUCAAGGACUAUAAAGUGAAAAGAAUGUGCGGGUGUGCAUCGCCAGAGGGAGUUCCUCCCUGGAAAUUUCCUAUACCAGAGAAAAAAACAAAUUAGGCAAAAAAAAAAAAGGGAGUUCCAGGGAAGGGUUGGGGGGGGGGGGGGUGGAGCGCCGGACCCAUCUGCGCAGGUGCGAGCGUCCUGGCUCUUCAGGCAGCCCCGCUCCUCCCCCUGCGCGGCGGUGACGUCAGCGCUGUCCCCGCGGCGGGCAAGGCGCCAGAAUCCCAGCCGAGAUUCCCGGAUGCUGACGUCACCGACGUCCGGGCGUCCUCACCAGCGUAGGGCUCGUGCUCCCUCCGGGGCUACCGCCAUGUUGGGCGUCGAGAGGUUUUCUGUAGUGGGUUGUGCUCUGGCUUGGGCCAUAAAGAUCGACCCCCACCUCCGCAUCCCAUCGUCCUCCCAUUCUCCUCCGGCGAGGUGCCAGAUGAGGCCCUGACAGCUCUGAGGGUUCCCAGACGAGGAGCAGAGCCAGAAUAGCGCCGAGGGGAAGGGGGCAGGAGUGGUUAGCCGAAAGCCCCAGGCGCCAGCCGCGCAUGCGCUUCCUAUCUCCCCACCCCACCCCCUGAGCCCCAAGGGCCCUUCCCCGAGUCUAGGAACCCUGGGGGAGGGGCUGUAAGAUCGCGAGAUCAGGGCCCGGGUGCCGAGGAGAUUCCGAGGCAUCAUCUGACAGACGAAGGAACUGAGGCCCCGAGGAGGAACGGACUUGCCCGAGCUCCCCCGGGGAAUAAGUAACUCGGGAAGGAUCUGAGGUCAGCUCCUCCGGAGGCCCAAGUCCCGCGCUCCGGAAGGUGGUGGGACAGUGACCCCCUCCCUCCCAGAACGUCCAGAGGACACUGUGAGCCUCCUUCCCCGUCCCCGGGCCUUUAGAGAGGGUUAGGGCUGGCCUCAAGGAUUUCUGGAGCACUUGCCACCUUCCUGAGCUAGGAGGGGCUUCUUCGGAUCAGUCGUCCUCCCUCCGCUGACACUGAUCCAGACCCUAAACGGGGG